rnacentral:rRNA from 1 species
CCAAUAGCGUAUAUUAAAGUUGUUGCAGUUAAAAAGCUCGUAGUUGAACUUCGGGGCGGGGGUGGCGGUCGCCUCUUACGGGGUCGUACUGCCAUUAUUACUCCGCUCUCUACCUUCUGACGAGCCGGUUAUGCACUUUAUUGGGCGUGCCGGGGAAUCAGGACUGUUACCUUGAAAAAAUUAGAGUGUUUAAAGCAGGCUAUUAAGCUUGAAUACAUUAGCAUGGAAUAACGAAAUAGGACGGAUUGGCUCUAUUUUGUUGGUUUCUAGGACCACCGUAAUGAUUAAUAGGGAUAGUUGGGGGCAUUAGUAUUCAAUUGUCAGAGGUGAAAUUCUUGGAUUUAUUGAAGACUAACUUCUGCGAAAGCAUUUGCCAAGGAUGUUUUCAUUAAUCAAGAACGAAAGUUAGGGGAUCGAAGACGAUCAGAUACCGUCGUAGUCUUAACCAUAAACUAUGCCGACUAGGGAUCGGGCGAUGUUACAUUCAAAUAUGACUCGCUCGGCGCCUUACG